rnacentral:piRNA from 1 species
UCCGUAGUGUUUCAAGAAAUU